UUUUUUCCAUAUUGUUGUAGCUAUCUACUAAAGCAGUUCCCGUCCACUGUUCAUCAUGUGAGAGGGCUACUGUUCAUCAUGUGUAUCUUCUUUUAAAUUCUGACUCCCUCUUCGAUUCCAGCGUUUUUCCCUUACCUAAUCCACACCUGGCAGCAAAUGGUACCUGCCUUUCCAUAAAAAAAAUAAUUAAAAAACCAUACCUGAUCCACAUCUGGCAGCAAUGAUGCAUGCCUUUCCACCAAAAAAUAAUUAAAAAACCAAAAAUCUGGAACAUGCAGAAUAAAAUGGAUAGAAAAGGGGAAAAAGAAAGAGAGAGAGAAACAAAAGCUGAGCAUGGAUUGUGAGAGAGGGUAUCUAUCACCAGAAAACAAAUAAUUAAAAAACACAACAUCAUGGCAUCUGGAACAGUUCCCCACCACUGUUCAUCACGUCUUUCCUUUCUUCCGCACAUCGUUCCUCGCAAUUCCUCUAAUUUUUGCCCACGCGUUCAUCGCUCUGCACACCUCCUCUUCAAUCAUCCUCUCCACGCGUCGAUCAUCGUCGAAGGGCUCUGCUUCGACUCCUUCUCGACUUUUCCUCUAACUCUCCUUCACUUUGCGGUCUUCUCUCAUCUCUCACUCUUUCUCAUGCUUUCUUUCUCUACCCAAGAAGCCUUCCAUCCAUUUCGAUCUCUCCCACAAACCCUUAUGUUGCUAAAGUUUGCCUUCCCUCGCUCUCCGAUCUCGAUUUCUCUCACUUUCCUGCUGAAAAAGACCAACCCAGUAGAAAUUUCUCCAGUUCUCUCUCUCAAAAACUAUAAAUCACAGUGGCCAAACUCCAGAAAAAUAAAAAUAAAUAAAUAAAUGGAAUUCGAAAAGCCAUUUGCUUUUCCUUGGAUUUGGGUUUUCCUUCGAUUUCUACACUGUCCAAAACUAGCGGCGUGGAUCAAGCUAGGGUUUUCUCUGAGCCGCGAUUGUUGCUCUGUCCUCCGCCGUCCGUCACUAGCAAGGAGAAUUGACCCCAGUUAGCUCCAACCUUGCGGUAAACGAGGGCUACUCUACUGUUUAUGCAGCAGGGGAAGGGAAGGGAAGUAAAAAUUAUAAGCAAAUGCGUAUAAGUUACAAGCUUUUAAUUAAAAAUAGAAAUGGAGUGACAACAAACAAAAUAUAGGGAUUAAGUUCAUUUAAGUAUGGGUCGUUUUGUAUUUGAAAUCUGAAAGGAGAAACAGAAAUUACAAGAAGAAGAGGAAGAUUGCGUUCCGAUCAUGGCCUUCUCUUCCUGCCUCUUAUCCAAAUCCUGACAAGGAUCUUAUUGAAAAGCAAGAAGAAUUGAAUUAGAUUAUUGCGGGGCUCAGGAAAAACUAUGCUUCUUUACAAGAGAAAUUUACGAAAUAAGAGUUGGAUAAGAUGGCUGCAAUGGAAUCUCUCAUUAUGGAAAGAGAGGCUAGACUUGAAAUUGAGCGACGACAAAAUUCCCUCUCAUAUGAGCACAGGAGAGUUCAAAGAGAGCUUUUAAGUGCUACUCAGAAGGUAGGCUCCAUGUGCAAUUGUUCUUGCUAUUUAGGCAAUUUCCUGGAACAUUGAGUAGAAAAACAAAUUAGAAUUUUGUUGGUUUUUUCUUUUAUGAAGUGUAAGCGUUAAUGCAUUUCAUCCUAAUAUGCAACUUAUAUUAGUAUCGCAUUUUGAAA